CUGAACUACCAACAUAUCAGAAAACCCCGGAGAAAAAAAUCUUUAACGAGUUUACAACUCCCAAACCCUGUAAAAAUACCGUAUACUU
rnacentral:rRNA from 1 species